CAGCCGUAAACUAUGCGCGUUAGGUGUAUCGGUGACCACGAGUUACCGAGGUGCCGAAGGGAAACCGUGAAACGUGCCGCCUGGGAAGUACGGUCGCAAGGCUGAAACUUAAAGGAAUUGGCGGGGGAGCACCACAACAGGUGGAGCCUGCGGUUUAAUUGGACUCAACGCCGGGAAGCUCACCGGAUAGGACAGCGGAAUGAUUGCCGGGCUGAAGACCCUGCAUGACUAGCUGAGAGGUGGUGCAUGGCGUCAGUGACU
rnacentral:rRNA from 1 species